GUGGGUACAGCUCAGGGGCAGAGCACAUGCUUAGCAUGCAUGAGGUCCUGGGUUCCAUCCCCAGUCCCUCCU
rnacentral:tRNA from 1 species